rnacentral:rRNA from 1 species
ACAGUGGACGCGAGCAUCUUUGUUGUAAGUAAUUAAGAGCGUACGGUGGAUGCCUUGGCACCAGGAGCCGAUGAAGGACGUAGGAGGCUGCGAUAAGCCUCGGGGAGCUGUCAACCGAGCUGAGAUCCGAGGAUGUCCGAAUGGGGAAACCCAGCCACAGUGAUGUGUGGUUACCCGCGCCUGAAUAUAUAGGGCGUGUGGAGGGAACGUGGGGAAGUGAAACAUCUCAGUACCCACAGGAAGAGAAAACAACAUGUGAUUCCGUGAGUAGUGGCGAGCGAAAGCGGAAGAGGCUAAACCAUGGGUGUGUGAUAGCCGGCGGGCGUUGCAUUCGUGGGGUUGUGGGAUCCGUCUUGUCAAUUCUGCCGGAUUGGCCGACAGUGAGAAAUCAUCGUGUUAGUCGAAGUGGUCUGGAACGGCCUGUCGUAGAGGGUGAGAGUCCCGUAGACGAAAACAUGGUGACUGUCGUGACGGACACCCGAGUAGCAGCGGGCCCGUGAAAUCUGCUGUGAAUCUGUCGGGACCACCCGAUAAGCCUGAAUACUCCCUGGUGACCGAUAGCGGACUAGUACCGUGAGGGAAAGGUGAAAAGUACCCCGGGAGGGGAGUGAAAUAGUACCUGAAACCGUGCGCUUACAAUCCGUCAGAGCCUGCGCCACUUUGGUGGGUGGGUGAUGGCGUGCCUUUUGAAGAAUGAGCCUGCGAGUUAGCGGCAUGUCGCGAGGUUAACCCGUGUGGGGUAGCCGUAGCGAAAGCGAGUCCGAAUAGGGCGUUUGUAGUGGCAUGUUCUAGACCCGAAGCGGAGUGAUCUACCCAUGGCCAGGGUGAAGCGACGGUAAGACGUCGUGGAGGCCCGAACCCACUUAGGUUGAAAACUGAGGGGAUGAGCUGUGGGUAGGGGUGAAAGGCCAAUCAAACUCCGUGAUAGCUGGUUCUCCCCGAAAUGCAUUUAGGUGCAGCGUCGCGUGUUUCACUCUGGAGGUAGAGCUACUGGAUGGCCGAUGGGCCCCACAAGGUUACUGACGUCAGCCAAACUCCGAAUGCCAGAGUGUGAGAGCGCGGCAGUGAGACUGCGGGGGAUAAGCUUCGUAGUCGAGAGGGAAACAGCCCAGAUCGCCGGCUAAGGCCCCUAAGCGUGUACUAAGUGGAAAAGGAUGUGGGGUCGCGAAGACAACCAGGAGGUUGGCUUAGAAGCAGCCACCCUUGAAAGAGUGCGUAAUAGCUCACUGGUCAAGUGAUCCUGCGCCGACAAUGUAGCGGGGCUCAAGUACACCGCCGAAGCCGCGGCAUUCACAUAACACCCAUGCGGGUCUACGGGCCUGUGUGCAGUGGUGUGGAUGGGUAGGGGAGCGUCGUGCAGCCAUGGAAGCGCCGGAGUGAUCCAGGUGUGGAGGCUGCACGAGUGAGAAUGCAGGCAUGAGUAGCGAAAGACGAGUGAGAAACUCGUCCGCCGAAUGACCAAGGGUUCCUGGGCCAGGUUAAUCCGCCCAGGGUGAGUCGGGACCUAAGGCGAGGCCGACAGGCGUAGUCGAUGGACAACGGGUUGAUAUUCCCGUACCCGUGUGAACGCGCCCCUGGUGAAUCAGUGAUGCUAAGCGCCCUGAAGCCGCCUUCGAACCUUCGGGUUCUCCGGUGUGUGGAUGCGCGUGAACCGAUCUGGUAGUAGCCAAGCGAUGGGGUGACGCAGGAAGGUAGCUGAGCCAGUCAGUGGUAAUACUGGUGUAAGCGUGUAGGGCGUGACCUAGGCAAAUCCGGGUCACAUGCAGCCUGAGACGUG